ACGAACGCUGGCGGCGUGCCUAACACAUGCAAGUCGAGCGGAGACAGGGAGUAGCUUGCUAUGAACUGUUUUAGCGGCGGACGGGUGAGUAACGCGUGAGCAACCUUUCCCAGACAGGGGAAUAACACACCGAAAGGUGUACUAAUACCGCAUAAGACCACGGGAUCACAUGGUUCUGGGGUAAAAGAUUUAUCGGUUUGGGGUGGGCUCGCGUCCGAUUAGGUAGUUGGUGAGGUAACGGCCCACCAAGCCGACGAUCGGUAGCCGACCUGAGAGGGUGAUCGGCCACAUUGGGACUGAGACACGGCCCAAACUCCUACGGGAGGCAGCAGUGGGGAAUAUUGGGCAAUGGGGGGAACCCUGACCCAGCAACGCCGCGUGGAGGAAGAAGGUUUUCGGAUCGUAAACUCCUGUCCUUGGAGACGAGUAGAAGACGGUAUCCAAGGAGGAAGCCCCGGCUAACUACGUGCCAGCAGCCGCGGUAAUACGUAGGGGGCAAGCGUUGUCCGGAAUAAUUGGGCGUAAAGGGCGCGUAGGCGGCUCGGUAAGUCUGGAGUGAAAGUCCUGCUUUUAAGGUGGGAAUUGCUUUGGAUACUGUCGGGCUUGAGUGCAGGAGAGGUUAGUGGAAUUCCCAGUGUAGCGGUGAAAUGCGUAGAGAUUGGGAGGAACACCAGUGGCGAAGGCGACUAACUGGACUGUAACUGACGCUGAGGCGCGAAAGUGUGGGGAGCAAACAGGAUUAGAUACCCUGGUAGUCCACGCCGUAAACGAUGUCGACUUGGAGGUUGUGCCCUUGAGGCGUGGCUUCCGGAGCUAACGCGUUAGGUCGACCGCCUGGGGAGUACGGCCGCAAGGUUGAAACUCAAAGGAAUUGACGGGGGCCCGCACAAGCAGUGGAGUAUGUGGUUUAAUUCGAAGCAACGCGAAGAACCUUACCAGGUCUUGACAUCCACUUAAACUUACAGAGAUGUAAGGUGUGCUUGCACAAAGUGAGACAGGUGGUGCAUGGUUGUCGUCAGCUCGUGUCGUGAGAUGUUGGGUUAAGUCCCGCAACGAGCGCAACCCUUAUCUUCAGUUACUAACGCGUAAAGGUGAGGACUCUGAAGAGACUGCCGGGGACAACUCGGAGGAAGGUGGGGACGACGUCAAAUCAUCAUGCCCCUUAUGACCUGGGCUACACACGUGCUACAAUGGCCACGACAGAGAGAAGCGAAAUCGCAAGGUAGAGCGGAACUCAAAAAAGUGGUCCCAGUUCGGAUUGUGGGCUGCAACCCGCCCACAUGAAGUCGGAGUUGCUAGUAAUCGCGGAUCAGCAUGCCGCGGUGAAUACGUUCCCGGGCCUUGUACACACCGCCCGUCACACCAUGAGAGUUGGGGAUACCCGAAGCCUGUGAGCCAACAGUAAUGAGGCAGCAGUCGAAGGUAGAAUCAAUGAUUGGGGUG
rnacentral:rRNA from 1 species